rnacentral:lncRNA from 1 species
AUCAGACUCCAAGGAGAGGCCAACAGAUGAGGGAGCCAUUUUUCUGCAAUGGAAUUAAAUGGCCAAGUGGGUUUUUCCUUUGUUGCAAAUGGGGAAUGCUUUUCCUUUGACUCCACCAUCCAGUUCAGGACGCCUGAAUGUGUUUAACAUUUGCCAAAGGACUCACACUUGGAAGAAUGAAGACCUUUUAAAAAGAUCUGGAUUUUUCCUUAUGACUUGGAAUCCAUCUUUGUCUUGUAUAACUAGGUCAUAGCACACUAUUAAUGUCAGCAGUUAACAGUUUUGAAUUCAAAAAAACCUAAAGCACUAAACAGCCCUCAGCGAAGCCGCCUUUUUGCCAGCCCAACCCUGGAAAGUUUGCAGUCGUGGAAGGAGCAGAAAUACCACGAGUGUAACUUACAAAGAAGGUCUUGGCCGGAGACCGGAGCCAUGUCUGUGUUAUCCCCACUGUAGACAAUCCUUGCUUCCUCUGGACAUCUGGAGCAGGCCCAAUUUGACUGAGAGCCUUCCCCCACUAAGAAGUGAAUUCUCCCCUUGGCAAACUGCAGCCAGCCAGCCUCCUGGGUCGAGAGCCAAGCCAAAAGAUGUCUGAGAGAAGAAACCUGGGGUCCUGCAAAGCCCUCCUCCUCCCCCCCCCCCCCCUUCAGCCAGCACUUAGGCCCUCCCUGAUUUAGCCCGUUACCUUGACAACCACUUGGGCCUGUCUCCCUCAUCACCACUGAAAACCUGAAGGUGGUUUUCCAGCUGCGGUACAUUUGCCCAAGUUGGGCACCCCUCCAGCUUCUAUUGGCUCGCCCUCUAUACAGCUGUACCCAAUAUAACAAACACAACCUUCCUGGCCCCUCAGCUGUAGUCUCGAAAUUGAUCUCACUGGUCCCGGGAACUCCGUCAAUACUGCCUCCUCUAGACUGAGCUCCUCACAGGCAGGAACAUGGUUGUUUCUCAAUAAACAAGUUGCAAAAAAA